rnacentral:miRNA from 1 species
AAAUAAAAAAUUGUCCAGUAGCACCUUAGAGACCAAUUAAGUUUGUUCUUGGUAUUAGCUUUUGUGUGUAUGAUACCAAGAACAAACUUAGUUGGUCUCUAAGGUGCUACUGGACAAUUUUUUAUUU